rnacentral:piRNA from 1 species
UGGGUCUGGUGAUACGUUCUUACCCAC